UAGGGAAUCUUCCACAAUGGACGCAAGUCUGAUGGAGCAACGCCGCGUGAGUGAAGAAGGUUUUCGGACCGUAAAGCUCUGUUGUUGGUGAAGAAGGAUAGAGGUAGUAACUGGCCUUUAUUUGACGGUAAUCAACCAGAAAGUCACGGCUAACUACGUGCCAGCAGCCGCGGUAAUACGUAGGUGGCAAGCGUUGUCCGGAUUUAUUGGGCGUAAAGCGAGCGCAGGCGGAAGAAUAAGUCUGAUGUGAAAGCCCUCGGCUUAACCGAGGAAUUGCAUCGGAAACUGUUUUCUUGAGUGCAGAAGAGGAGAGUAGAACUCCAUGUGUAGCGGUGGAAUGCGUAGAUAUAUGGAAGAAUACCAGUGGCGAAGGCGGCUCUCUGGUCUGCAACUGACGCUGAGGCUCGAAAGCAUGGUAGCGAACAGGAUUAGAUACCCUGGUAGUCCAUGCCGUAAACGAUGAGUGCUAAGUGUUGGGAGGCUUCCGCCUCUCAGUGCUGCAGCUAACGCAUUAAGCACUCCGCCUGGGGGAGUACGACCGCAA
rnacentral:rRNA from 1 species